CUCUGCUCUGCUCUGAAGGUUAACUCUGGCAUCUUCAGCUCUGCUCUGCGCUGAAGGUUUACUCUGGCAUCUUCAGCUCUGCUCUGAAGAUAUACUCAGCUCUGGCACAACGACUUCAACUCUGGCGCGAUCUUGGCUCUGUUCGGGCUUCAUCAAGACAUGAAGAAACAACAUAUGGUCUACACAAUGACAACCAAACAUAGAGUAAAGAAAUACUCUAACAGAAAAUAAUUCAGAUAAUAUUCAGACUUAUUUAAAUCGGAAAAAACUCUAUGGCUACGUUUACUUUGAUGGAAAAUGAGAGAAAAAAUAUAUUUUCACCUAUUUUCUACCAUUUUCACAUGUUUACUAUGAUGGAAAUUUUUUUUCCGGACAUGGUGAAAUAUUUUCUCAAACAUCUCCUUUUUGCUCAUUUUAUCCCCAAUGUUGGAUAAUAUUAUCCAAUGGUAAGGGUGUGAAAAUAUUUUCCAACAUUUUCUUAUCUUUUCACCUCUAGUAAGCGUAUAUAUGAUAAUAAAAAAAAAGAGAAAAAAAGAUACUCCAAUGAAAAUUUUACAACCAAAAUAAACACACCCUUAUAAAGAAGAGGAUAUUGCACAACGGAGAGAAACUGCACCCUAAAAAAAAGCAUUGUCCUGAUAAUAAUUUAAGUCGACUAAAUGAGUGCAAAUUUCACUAUAUUAUAAUCGAUGUGGAGAUAAUAGAACUAGUGCUCAAAGAAGAAAAAAGAAAAUUAUUAUUUAACAAUAAAUAUAAGAGCAUAAUAUAGUACUAUUUCCGUCUCACGAAUUUUGAUACGUUUGGUUUCAGCACGGAAAUUAAAGAAUUGUAGAUUAAUAUUUUAAGUGUGUAAUUAAUAAAGUAUAAAAGUGAUAAAAUAGGAGAGACAAUGUAAUAAAAGUGAUAAAGUAG
rnacentral:lncRNA from 1 species